rnacentral:rRNA from 1 species
AUGCCAGACUCCUACGGGAGGCAGCAGUGGGGGAUAUUGCACAAUGGGGGGAACCCUGAUGCAGCGACGCCGCGUGAGUGAAGAAGUAUUUCGGUAUGUAAAGCUCUAUCAGCAGGGAAGAAAAAAGACGGUACCUGACUAAGAAGCCCCGGCUAACUACGUGCCAGCAGCCGCGGUAAUACGUAGGGGGCAAGCGUUAUCCGGAUUUACUGGGUGUAAAGGGAGCGUAGACGGCAAUACAAGUCGGAAGUGAAAUACCCGGGCUCAACCUGGGAACUGCCUUUGAAACUGGCAAACUGGAGUGUGUGAGAGGAUAGUGGAAUUCCAGGUGUAGGAGUGAAAUCCGUAGAUAUCUGGAGGAACAUCAGUGGCGAAGGCGACUAUCUGGCACAUAACUGACGCUGAGGAGCGAAAGCGUGGGUAGCAAACAGGAUUAGAUACCCCGGUAAAA